AAUGAGCACUAGAUGGCAGCAAAUCAAUAUAUAUCAUUAUGGGUCCUAGAAUGUCACAGUUCAAAGAACAAACAAUCUGGGAUUUUCUGAUCAAGCACCAGUAAGGUAAUUAGGAACUUGGACCCUCUCCAUCCC